rnacentral:rRNA from 1 species
CGGACGGGUGAGGAAUACAUCGGAAUCUACUCUGUAGUGGGGGACAACGUUUCGAAAGGAACGCUAAUACCGCAUACGUCCUACGGGAGAAAGCAGGGGACCUUCGGGCCUUGCGCUAUCAGAUGAGCCUAGGUCGGAUUAGCUAGUUGGUGAGGUAAUGGCUCACCAAGGCGACGAUCCGUAACUGGUCUGAGAGGAUGAUCAGUCACACUGGAACUGAGACACGGUCCAGACUCCUACGGGAGGCAGCAGCC